UUGGAGGGCAAGUCUGGUGCCAGCAGCCGCGGUAAUUCCAGCUCCAAUAGCGUAUAUUAAAGUUGUUGCAGUUAAAAAGCUCGUAGUUGAACUUCGGGAUCAAUGAGUUGGUCGUGCCCUUGGUAUGAACUGGCUUUAUUGGUUCUCACCUUCUAAUGAACCAUAAUGUCAUUCAUUUGAUGUUUUGGGGAAUUAGGACUGUUACCUUGAAAAAUUAGAGUGUUUAAAGCAGGCUCACGCUUGAAUACAUUAGCAUGGACUAAUGAAAUAGGACAUCGCAUUCUAUUUUGUUGGUUUCUAGGAUCGAUGUAAUGAUUAAUAGGGAUAGUUGGGGGCAUUAGUAUUCAAUUGUCAGAGGUGAAAUUCUUGGAUUUAUUGAAGACUAACUACUGCGAAAGCAUUUGCCAAGGAUGUUUUCAUUAAUCAAGAACGAAAGUUAGGGGAUCGAAGACGAUCAGAUACCGUCGUAGUCUUAACCAUAAACUAUGCCGACUAGGGAUCGGAUGAUGUUGAUUUUAAU
rnacentral:rRNA from 1 species